rnacentral:rRNA from 1 species
UACGGAGGGUGCAAGCGUUAUCCGGAUUUACUGGGUUUAAAGGGUGCGCAGGCGGAUAUGUAAGUCAGUGGUGAAAUCUCUAGGCUUAACCUGGAAAUUGCCGUUGAUACUAUAUAUCUUGAAUGUUGUGGAGGUAAGCAGAAUAUGUCAUGUAGCGGUGAAAUGCUUAGAUAUGACAUAGAAUACCUAUUGCGAAGGCGGCUUACUACGCAGAUAUUGACGCUCAUGCACGAAAGCGUGGGGAUCAAACAGG